UACAGAGGGUGCAAGCGUUGUUCGGAAUUAUUGGGCGUAAAGCGCGUGUAGGCGGCUUUGCAAGUCGGGUGUGAAAGCCCUCGGCUCAACCGAGGAAGUGCGCCCGAAACUGCAGAGCUUGAGUACCGGAGAGGAUGGCGGAAUUCCCCAAGUAGAGGUGAAAUUCGUAGAUAUGGGGAGGAACACCGGUGGCGAAGGCGGCCAUCUGGACGGAUACUGACGCUGAGGCACGAAAGCUAGGGGAGCGAACGGG
rnacentral:rRNA from 1 species